CGCGUAGGCGGAUGUUACAGUCAGGCGUGAAAUUCCUGGGCUCAACCUGGGGGCUGCGUUUGAUACGUGAUGUCUGGAGUUCGGAAGAGGGUCGUGGAAUUCCCAGUGUAGAGGUGAAAUUCGUAGAUAUUGGGAAGAACACCGGUGGCGAAGGCGGCGACCUGGUCCGAUACUGACGCUGAGGCGCGAAAGCGUGGGGAGCAAACAGGAUUAGAUACCCUGGUAGUCCACGCUGUAAACGAUGUGCGCUGGAUGUUGGGUGACAUAGUCAUUCAGUGUCGCAGCUAACGCGAUAAGCGCACCGCCUGGGGAGUACGGCCGCAAGGUUGAA
rnacentral:rRNA from 1 species